rnacentral:rRNA from 1 species
UACGUAGGCAGCGAGCGUUGGUCGGAGUUACUGGGCGUAAAGGGGGUGUAGGCGGUCGGUUAAGUUUGGUGGGAAAUCUCCCGGCUCAACUGGGAGGGUGCGCCGAAUACUGAGCGGCUAGAGUGCGGGAGAGGAAAGUGGAAUUCCUGGUGUAGCGGUGAAAUGCGUAGAUAUCGGAAGGAACAUCAGUGGCGAAAGCGGGUCUCUGGGCCGAUAUCGACGCUGAGGAGCGAAAGCGUGGGGAGCGAACAGG